CCAAUAGCGUAUAUUAAAGUUGUUGCAGUUAAAAAGCUCGUAGUUGAAUUUCGGGAUCAAUAUUUCGGUCAUGCCGUUGGUAUGCACUGUUAUUAUUGAUUUCUCACCUUCUAAAGAACCGUAAUGCCAUUAAUUUGGUGUUACGGGGAAUUAGGACUGUUACCUUGAAAAAAUUAGAGUGUUUAAAGCAGGCUCACGCU
rnacentral:rRNA from 1 species